rnacentral:lncRNA from 1 species
GAUGGAGCAAUUAUCCCAUUAAGAGACGAGUUGAAGAAUUACCAACCAUUCUCACUAUGUGAUUGCACAGCCACCAGUCAUGUAGACCGUGCAGCCAUCAGAGAAUUGAAAGGCUAUGAAGAAACCAACAACGUCAUAUAUUUUCUAAGACGAUUGAACGAUAACUUUGCUGCACCAAGAGCACAGGUGCUAUUUGAAGAUAACCUUCCGUCAAUUGAAAGAGUCGUCCAACGUAUGGUGCAGCAUGAGAGAUAGCUCUAUGGAACGCAGACAAAACCUGGAGGAAGUGGCAACCUCACCAUGGCCGUGCAAGGGUUUAAUGCUUAUGGAAACUGUAAAAGUCAGCGGAGACCAUACAGACCAUAACUUGAUGGUAAGAAACGACCACUUUGCGCUCACUGUAAGCUGCUUGGACACACCAAAGAUAGGUGCUUUUUAAGAAUGAAUGGCGACCUUGAAUAACUCCCAGAACAUUCCCAAAGAUUGGCAGUAACGCGAUGCGACACUUUCCUAAUCAAAGUUACAGACCUCAAGCAAAUGCUGCAGUGAGUGCCAAUGCUCAAACACCAGGAGGAAUUCAACUCUCUCAGAACCAGUUUGCACAAUUAAUGUCUAUGAUACAAGGAAAAGGCAGUGGAGAGAGUUCCU